rnacentral:rRNA from 1 species
UUGUUGGUGAGGUAAAAGCUUACCAAGGCUUCGAUCAGUAGCUGGUCUGAGAGGACGGCCAGCCACACUGGGGCUGAGACACGGCCCAGACUCCUACGGGAGGCAGCAGUGGGGAAUUUUGGACAAUGGGGGCAACCCUGAUCCAGCCAUGCCGCGUGAGUGAAGAAGGCCUUCGGGUUGUAAAGCUCUUUCAGCCGGAACGAAACGGUUACGGUUAAUACCCGUGACUACUGACGGUACCGGAAGAAGAAGCACCGGCUAACUACGUGCCAGCAGCCGCGGUAAUACGUAGGGUGCAAGCGUUAAUCGGAAUUACUGGGCGUAAAGCGUGCGCAGGUGGUUUUGUAAGUCAGAUGUGAAAUCCCCGGGCUUAACCUGGGAACUGCGUUUGAAACUACAAGGCUAGAGUGUGGCAGAGGGGGGUGGAAUUCCGCGUGUAGCAGUGAAAUGCGUAGAUAUGUGGAGGAACACCGAUGGCGAAGGCAGCCCCCUGGGUCAACACUGACGCUCAGGCACGAAAGCAUGGGGAGCAAACAGGAUUAGAUACCCUGGUAGUCCAUGCCCUAAACGAUGUCAACUAGUUGUCGGGCCUUAACGGGCUUGGUAACGUAGCUAACGCGUGAAGUUGACCGCCUGGGGAGUACGAUCGCAAGAUUAAAACUCAAAGGAAUUGACGGGGACCCGCACAAGCGGUGGAUUAUGUGGAUUAAUUCGAUGCAACGCGAAAAACCUUACCUACCCUUGACAUGUAUCGAAGCCCGCAGAGAAGCGGGUGUGCCCGAAAGGGAACGAUAACACAGGUGCUGCAUGGCUGUCGUCAGCUCGUGUCGUGAGAUGUUGGGUUAAGUCCCGCAACGAGCGCAACCCUUGUCAUUAAUUGCCAUCAUUUAGUUGGGCACUUUAAUGAGACUGCCGG